AGGAACUUAGGAUUAAACAAACCCGAGGCCUUCAAAGCCCCAAAUAAGAGCCCAACCUCUUAGCUCCUG
rnacentral:tRNA from 1 species